rnacentral:rRNA from 1 species
GACUACAGGGGUAUCUAAUCCUGUUUGCUCCCCACGCUUUCGCACCUCAGCGUCAAUGCCGGUCCAGUGAGCCGCCUUCGCCACUGGUGUUCUUCCGAAUAUCUACGAAUUUCACCUCUACACUCGGAAUUCCACUCACCUCUCCCGGAUUCUAGCAAUCCAGUCUCAAAGGCAAUUCCGGGGUUGAGCCCCGGGCUUUCACCUCUGACUUAGAUCGCCGCCUACGUGCGCUUUACGCCCAGUAAUUCCGAACAACGCUAGCUCCCUCCGUAUUACCGCGGCUGCUGGCACGGAGUUAGCCGGAGCUUAUUCUCCCGAUACUGUCAUUAUCAUCUCGGGUAAAAGAGCUUUACAACCCUAAGGCCUUCAUCACUCACGCGGCAUUGCUGGAUCAGGGUUUCCCCCAUUGUCCAAUAUUCCCCACUGCUGCCCCCCGUAGG